rnacentral:rRNA from 1 species
AUUGAACGCUGGCGGCAGGCCUAACACAUGCAAGUCGAGCGGGGUUUUCGGGCCUAGCGGCGGACGGGUGAGUAAUGCGUAGGAAGCUACCCGAUAGAGGGGGAUACCAGUUGGAAACGACUGUUAAUACCGCAUAACGUCUACGGACCAAAGUGUGGGACCUUCGGGCCACAUGCUAUCGGAUGCGCCUACGUGGGAUUAGCUAGUUGGUGAGGUAAUGGCUCACCAAGGCGACGAUCCCUAGCUGGUUUGAGAGGAUGAUCAGCCACACUGGAACUGAGACACGGUCCAGACUCCUACGGGAGGCAGCAGUGGGGAAUAUUGGACAAUGGGCGCAAGCCUGAUCCAGCCAUGCCGCGUGUGUGAAGAAGGCCUUCGGGUUGUAAAGCACUUUCAGCGAGGAGGAAGGGGUGAGUGUUAGUAGUACUCAUCUUUGACGUUACUCGCAGAAGAAGCACCGGCUAACUCUGUGCCAGCCGCCGCAGUAACAC